rnacentral:lncRNA from 1 species
CCAGCAGCCCACCGCUUGAUUUCAAAAUCUAGGGUCUCACCGAUUCUCUGUACAGAAAAAGUAAGCAAUUAUAACUGGUGAUAAAAUAAUAAAAUUCAGAGCAAAGACAUAUCAUAGAAGUCGCUGGUGAUAAAAUAAUUAAAUUCAGAGCAAAGACAUAUCAUAGAAGUCGGAGCAGAAAGAUAAGGAUGAAAGGCACACAAAUGCCAAUAGAGAAAAAUAAGAAGCAAGCUCAUCCCAGAAAUAUGGAUGCACCCAAGCUCUGCCAGCACAUAUUUUAGUAAGGAAUACUCAGCGCAUUUAGAUAUACACUGAAUAGCCAAAUCUGUAUAAAUGAAAGGCCUUGAGGAGUAAAGAAAAAUAGGUCUUGAUAGAUUCAGCAAUAAAAAGAAGAAAGUGAUCCUACUGAUAUAGGACAUAGCUAGCUCAAAUUGCAUAUUUAAGCAAAGAUCCAAAAGUUUAGGCAAUAUUUGAAGGAAGAAACCUUUUCAAUCAAAGUUCUAAAUUAUUAUUUACAGAUGAUGGGGCAUCUAAACAAGCACCGCAACAAUAUGAUUGUUUUUUAACUCUGUAAUGCAAUCCAGGCAUGUAGCAGUGCGCAUAGAAAACAAAGAAUUAUGCGGUUCUAUUCAGCUAUUACAUAAUAGUUGCACACCACUCAAAUUUUACAGAGGUCAG